rnacentral:tRNA from 1 species
GUCCCUGUCAUCUAGUCCGGCUCAGGAUACUGGCCUUUCACGCCAGCGACACGGGUUCGAAUCCCGUCAGGGACACAA